rnacentral:lncRNA from 1 species
GCUGACCAGUGCUACCCUCAGCUGGGUCUAGGCCUCCGUCUACCAGUCCUUAGACCACGGACUGGUCUUGGCCUAUUCUCAUCUAAGUAGACAUUCAGAUGUGGCCAGCAGCUGCAUCCAGGGCAUGAGAGAAGCAGGCUGAGUGCCAGGCACCGUGCAGGUCACUUCCGUCCUCUGGGCAGCGUUUCUCCUGGGACUUCAUUUCUACCAGUAGCAGCCCUGGUAGUGUCUGGCAGUUCUAGCCAUCUCGUCUUCAGAGCUCUGAAGGUGGGAUUCGGCAGGCUGAGGGGCAUGUCAGCAGGACUGAGGCCCCACAGAAGCCAGGAUCUACCAGGUUGCUCCAGAAGCUGGAGCGUGAUGAGCUGGAACUAGCUAGCGUUACUCUGGGGAAGCUCUACCUAAAGGCUCCAGGCAGCCUUGCUUACCGUAUGUGAGGUCAGGGUACCGGGUGCUGGGGAUUGCUUGUGGCCCACUCACCUCGUGGGGCGGUGGCCCGCAACCCUGGCUUACCCUGAGGCUCUAAUGCCCCCUGGUGCAGGAGAAAGCUCCGGGACUAGGCUCUGUAGGCCCUACACACUGAGGAGUCCUGCACCUUGCUUUGGGACAAUGCCAACAGUAUACAUCCCUCUCUGGUCCCAUGCCAGCUGGUAGUGUAAAGAGGACUUCACACAGGCUCCCGGGUGGCUGCUUUCUCUCCCAGCUGUUUCCAGUUUCACUGGUGUAAACCUGUACUGCGGGCAGGGCCCCCACUGAAGGCUGAGUGAAGGGCAAAAGGUGAAGGCCUCUUGAACAGCCCCAGCUGAUGCCCAUUUUGCAGCAGUUAUUUUUUGAUUAAUUUUGGCAGCCUAUGGCCAUUGUUAUGACGACGACUUGAAGAACCUGACUAAGUAUAACCUGACUAAGUGUUCCCUCCAAAGGGGCAUGUAUCUUUCCAUGGGGCAGGCCCUGCCCUGUCAUGCCAGCCAGCGUGCACCUUGACACUGGUGCCGUGGGCAACACAGACAUUCAAGCCUACUCAAUAUGACAAUUCCUCAGAAAUGAGGACACUUAGCUGACACACAAAGCACCUUUUUAUACAGAUCAAUGUUUUCUCAUUAAACUGACUCUAUUC